rnacentral:rRNA from 1 species
UACGUAGGUGGCAAGCGUUGUCCGGAUUCAUUGGGCGUAAAGAGCUCGUAGGCGGCUUGGCAAGUCGGGUGUGAAACCUCCAGGCUCAACCUGGAGACGCCACCCGAGACUGCUAUGGCUAGAGUCCGGUAGGGGAUCACGGAAUUCCUGGUGUAGCGGUGAAAUGCGCAGAUAUCAGGAGGAACACCGGUGGCGAAGGCGGUGAUCUGGGCCGGCACUGACGCUGAGGAGCGAAAGCGUGGGUAGCAAACAGG